GUUCUUAAAAGUGGUUAUCCUUACGAAGUGGCUCAUUGACAAAAUUUGUAAAUCACCACCCUCAUCAAUCAUUAUUACCCAAUUAGGGCUUCAUUUGACUGUGAAUUGAGCUUCCUGCCUCUCUCGCCAGCAGAAAACCUUCUAAGUUCAUUAAUCUCUCAAUUGUUCAGUUUUCGUUUAUCUCUUACCCUCAUUUCCUUGAUGUUUUGAGUCUCUUGAAGAAGAUCGAUACUGCAGUGGAGUUUCAUUUGAUUUGUCCUCUACAGAUUCAAUGGAUGCCCAAGCUGAAGAAGAUAUUCCUCGAAGGCCUCGGGUUAGGGCCUCAUUUUGCCUAGGAUCAGAGAUACAUUUAGUCAAUACAACUAAUAGAGGCAACCUUUCGGAGCAGCUGAUUUCCAUGAAAGAGGAUAGCAUGGCCAUUUUGAAGGAGUACAUAACCAAACAUAAUGUUUCUAAUGACGUUCCAGACGAACUAGUUGAAGAAGCUUCUGAGGACGAUGAUGAAAUCUCUGAAAAACCUCAAGUCAAGGCAAAGAAGACAAAAGUAACAUAAUUUCUCUGCUUUAAGGACUAAACCCUGAAAUUCUAAACAAAAGAAAGUGUCUUAGAAAUGAAUAUAGAACAUACUUUUAAGUUCAUUAGUGUUCUAAUUGUGCUUGGUUUGUGGCAUGUGUUCUUUUCAACACCUUCGUUUCUGAUUCUAAGUUCUAACUGGUUAUCCUCUCCUGCACUUGCAUGAUUGGGAAAAAUGAAUGCCGGAAUCAGAUGUAUUCAGUUUGAAUUAUAAAUCAGAAAUUCUAUUUUUCAUCGCAUUUGCUUUAUGAUUGCUAGUAGUUUUUAUGGA